UACGAAGGGGGCUAGCGUUGCUCGGAAUUACUGGGCGUAAAGGGCGCGUAGGCGGACAGUUUAGUCAGAGGUGAAAGCCCAGGGCUCAACCUUGGAAUAGCCUUUGAUACUGGCUGUCUUGAGUUCGGGAGAGGUGAGUGGAAUGCCGAGUGUAGAGGUGAAAUGCGUAGAUAUUGGGAGGAACACCAGUGGCGAAGGCGGCUACCUGGACCGGUUCUGACGCUGAGGCGCGAAAGCGUGGGUAGCAAACAGG
rnacentral:rRNA from 1 species